CCACUACAUUUCACAACCUGCCGAUCUGCUCCUUCAAAGCUGAGUAGAUUCAUCUACAAUAUUCCGUCGGAUAUAUAUCAACUCAAAGAUUGAACUUUUUGUGAGUGUCGCGGUUGCAUUUAAACUCCAGUUCGAUCAACUGACCAAGAUUUGAACUCUUUCAGAGUUUGUCCAGAUACAGAAAGGAAGAUGCACGGCGAAUGUCCGGAUAUGAAUAAGGGGACUAGGAAAACAUCAGAGAUCCAAUCUGAAAAAACAUCAGACAGUCAAGCUGCUAGAAGAACUGAAGACUUUCUUGGGGUGACCGGAGAUACGGAGCUGCUAGAAGAACUGAAGAAAAUAAAUGACAACGUAAAAGCUCGAGAAGAAGAAGAUCGGUCGUCACGGCCAAAGAUACAAAGGGUUAAGCCUUACUUGCUGCAAAAUAAUAAAAUCAAAAAGCAUUUUAUCCCAAGGGAGAUUUCAGUCGGCCUAAUUCAUGCUGUUAGUUCCAGACUAUAUAAAAAGGAACUCAAGCUUAAAUUGGCAAAUAGAUUCAUCGAACGUGGCGGAGGAAAACCGGAUCUAUUUCUCCAAGAAAUCAAGUCCAAAAUCCAGUAUCU